rnacentral:rRNA from 1 species
AGUGAACGCUGGCGGUAGGCCUAACACAUGCAAGUCGAACGGCAGCACAGUAAGAGCUUGCUCUUACGGGUGGCGAGUGGCGGACGGGUGAGGAAUACAUCGGACUCUACUUUUUCGUGGGGGAUAACGUAGGGAAACUUACGCUAAUACCGCAUACGACCUACGGGUGAAAGCAGGGGAUCUUCGUACCUUGCGCGAUUGAAUGAGCCGAUGUCGGAUUAGCUAGUUGGCGGGGUAAAGGCCCACCAAGGCGACGAUCCGUAGCUGGUCUGAGAGGAUGAUCGGCCACCCUGGAACUGGGCCACGGUCCAGGCUCCUACGGUAGGCAGCAGUGUGGAAUGUUGGACAGUGGGGGCAAGCCUGAUCCAGCCAUACCGCGUGGGUGAAGAAGGCCUUCGGGUUGUAAAGCCCUUUUGUGGGGAAAGAAAAGCAGCAGGUUAAUACCCCGCUGUUCUGACGGUACCCAAAGAAUAAGCACCGGCUAACUUCGUG